GUCUAUUUCACCUUCUGAAGAAACCUCUUUUUCUCUCCUUUGGGUGAUGCUCUGUUGUUAUUCCUAUGGGCACAAUCUGAAUUUUAAUACUUCCACUCAGGAGUUUGGGUGAGGCGACCAUGGGUCAAGAUGUUUUUCUUUUAAAACAACUGGCAAUUCUCUGCCCUUUUGUUCUGUUUGGAUCUGAGCACCCUGUCAUUUCUCUGCGGUCCCCAGUUUUAUUUUUGCUCUGGCAUCACUGGAAAUGAUGGCGUCUCACUUAGUGAUGUUUGCUAUGAAGAUCUCAUGAGCCACUUUAUCCUUCUCCCAGCCAACUGCGGAAGAAACUCAAAUUCCUCUGACAUUGCUGCAUCUGGGCGGAUCCUUGCAGCGGUUGAGGUGCUGGGGUUCUAUUUUGCACACUGGUGAACCAGAAGUGACCCAAAUCAUCUGAAGGUCCUUAAUUCCAUGAAUAAAACUAUAUUCAGAAGGUGAUUAUCGUGUAAAGGAGAGGUGCAUUAUCUUUGGGGAACAAGUGACCAUGGAAACAGUGAGUGCAGGAAAUAGUAGAGCUUUGCAUUUGGGUCCUUCAGGAGGCUUUGCAGUGGAAUCACCCUGCAGCUCGGAAAAGUGGGAGCAACGUGCUGUGAUGCCACCUCUUGGCUAAUGAAUGUGGACUGUGAGGUGACAGAGGGAACCCUGAUCAUCUGACACUGACUCUUGGUACAGAACCACUGUGGAAGUCAUCCAGGAGAAAAGCAAACAACUAGUGUGCUGUAUGGUGAAGAUUUUCUGUGUUUAGUGACCGAACUCUUAUUGCCUUUGGAGAAUGAAAUCCACACUUUUUGCUUUUUGGAGUGGUUGACUUGAAUGAUAAUCAACAUGGGGGAGAGAUGGGAUUACUUUCUAAAUGGAGUAAGGGGUAAGCAAGGGUAAGCAUCUUGGACAAAAUGGCGGCAAGUAUGAAAUGACAAAAGCGCUUGUCUCCAGCAUCUGGCUAAGCAGUCUUUUGCCAAGACCCUCACCUUUGGCCUGGAUAGAGGCUCUCUAGCUGGGUCAGAGCAAAGAGCAGCAUCCUGACCAUUCAUUCCAUGGUCUCCUGGCUGACCAAGGGGGGCCAAUUAGGUCCUAUUGUGAUAGAAGUGGGAGGGAAAGUUUCCUCCAUUCCGAUGACCCUUGGAGUGACUCCAUCAGUCUUAAAGGCCAUAGGGGUGGAGGAUGGGGCGCUAUUCUCUACCUCAUUGGGCCAUAGCCAGCCCUGUGUGAGUAAUUGGUUCUGUUCCUUAGCCUGAGGUCCUUCAGAUCUAUGGGAUUGACACUGCCUUCGUGCCUCCCCCAAACAGAAAUUUGCUCAGUUUGUCAUUUCAGAAGAUGGCUGUUUGGGGAUGGGAGGAAGAAAAAUAAAAUAUAAACACUAGUUAUUGGUCCUAUGUCCGUUUUGUUUUAGAAGUAGCAUUUAUAUUGGUAAAGGGUGGCAAAUGUCAGCCCCGUCACCCACCACCCACUUCCCAGUGCCUGCCUUUUUCUCACUGUGGGGUACAAUGA
rnacentral:lncRNA from 1 species